rnacentral:rRNA from 1 species
UACGGAGGGUGCGAACGUUGCUCGGAAUCAUUGGGCGUAAAGCGCACGUAGGCGGACCGCUAAGUCGGAUGUGAAAGCCCUCGGCUUAACCGAGGAAGUGCAUUCGAAACUGACGGUCUUGAGUAUGGAAGAGGGUCGCGGAAUUCCCGGUGUAGAGGUGAAAUUCGUAGAUAUCGGGAGGAACACCAGUGGCGAAGGCGGCGACCUGGGCCAAUACUGACGCUGAGGUGCGAAAGCGUGGGGAGCAAACAGG